GACGAACGCUGGCGGCGUGCCUAAUACAUGCAAGUAGAACGCACAGUUUAUACCGUAGCUUGCUACACCAUACACUGUGAGUUGCGAACGGGUGAGUAACGCGUAGGUAACCUGCCUGGUAGCGGGGGAUAACUAUUGGAAACGAUAGCUAAUACCGCAUAAUAUUGAUUAUUGCAUGAUAAUUGAUUGAAAGAUGCUAUUGCAUCACUACCAGAUGGACCUGCGUUGUAUUAGCUAGUAGGUGAGGUAACGGCUCACCUAGGCGACGAUACAUAGCCGACCUGAGAGGGUGAUCGGCCACACUGGGACUGAGACACGGCCCAGACUCCUACGGGAGGCAGCAGUAGGGAAUCUUCGGCAAUGGACGAAAGUCUGACCGAGCAACGCCGCGUGAGUGAAGAAGGGUUUCGGAUCGUAAAGCUCUGUUGUAAGAGAAGAGCGGGUGUGAGAGUGGAAAGUUCACACUGUGACGGUAUCUUACCAGAAAGGGACGGCUAACUACGUG
rnacentral:rRNA from 1 species